rnacentral:rRNA from 1 species
GACGUAGGGCGCAAGCGUUGUCCGGAUUUAUUGGGCGUAAAGAGCUCGUAGGCGGCUUGUUGCGUCGACCGUGAAAACCCGUGGCUCAACUGCGGGCUUGCGGUCGAUACGGGCGGGCUAGAGUUCGGUAGGGGAGACUGGAAUUCCUGGUGUAGCGGUGAAAUGCGCAGAUAUCAGGAGGAACACCGGUGGCGAAGGCGGCAUCCUGGACCGGUAUUGACGCUGAGGCGCGAAAGCCAGGGGAGCAAACGGG